GAUGAACGCUGGCGGCGUGCCUAAUACAUGCAAGUCGAGCGAACGGACGAGAAGCUUGCUUCUCUGAUGUUAGCGGCGGACGGGUGAGUAACACGUGGAUAACCUACCUAUAAGACUGGGAUAACUUCGGGAAACCGGAGCUAAUACCGGAUGAUAUUUUGAACCGCAUGGUUCAAAAGUGAAAGACGGUCUUGCUGUCACUUAUAGAUGGAUCCGCGCUGCAUUAGCUAGCUGGUAAGGUAACGGCUUACCAAGGCAACGAUGCAUAGCCGACCUGAGAGGGUGAUCGGCCACACUGGAACUGAGACACGGUCCAGACUCCUACGGGAGGCAGCAGUAGGGAAUCUUCCGCAAUGGGCGAAAGCCUGACGGAGCAACGCCGCGUGAGUGAUGAAGGUCUUCGGAUCGUAAAACUCUGUUAUUAGGGAAGAACAUAUGUGUAAGUAACUGUGCACAUCUUGACGGUACCUAAUCAGAAAGCCACGGCUAACUACGUGCCAGCAGCCGCGGUAAUACGUAGGUGGCAAGCGUUAUCCGGAAUUAUUGGGCGUAAAGCGCGCGUAGGCGGUUUUUUAAGUCUGAUGUGAAAGCCCACGGCUCAACCGUGGAGGGUCAUUGGAAACUGGAAAACUUGAGUGCAGAAGAGGAAAGUGGAAUUCCAUGUGUAGCGGUGAAAUGCGCAGAGAUAUGGAGGAACACCAGUGGCGAAGGCGACUUUCUGGUCUGUAACUGACGCUGAUGUGCGAAAGCGUGGGGAUCAAACAGGAUUAGAUACCCUGGUAGUCCACGCCGUAAACGAUGAGUGCUAAGUGUUAGGGGGUUUCCGCCCCUUAGUGCUGCAGCUAACGCAUUAAGCACUCCGCCUGGGGAGUACGACCGCAAGGUUGAAACUCAAAGGAAUUGACGGGGACCCGCACAAGCGGUGGAGCAUGUGGUUUAAUUCGAAGCAACGCGAAGAACCUUACCAAAUCUUGACAUCCUUUGACAACUCUAGAGAUAGAGCCUUCCCCUUCGGGGGACAAAGUGACAGGUGGUGCAUGGUUGUCGUCAGCUCGUGUCGUGAGAUGUUGGGUUAAGUCCCGCAACGAGCGCAACCCUUAAGCUUAGUUGCCAUCAUUAAGUUGGGCACUCUAAGUUGACUGCCGGUGACAAACCGGAGGAAGGUGGGGAUGACGUCAAAUCAUCAUGCCCCUUAUGAUUUGGGCUACACACGUGCUACAAUGGACAAUACAAAGGGCAGCGAAACCGCGAGGUCAAGCAAAUCCCAUAAAGUUGUUCUCAGUUCGGAUUGUAGUCUGCAACUCGACUACAUGAAGCUGGAAUCGCUAGUAAUCGUAGAUCAGCAUGCUACGGUGAAUACGUUCCCGGGUCU
rnacentral:rRNA from 1 species